rnacentral:lncRNA from 1 species
AGCCCAGCUGGGCACGGUGGCUCACGCCUGUAAUCCCAGCACUUUGGGAGGCUGAGGCAGAUCACCUGAGGUCGGGAGCUUGAGACCAGCCUUACCAACAUGGUGUAACCCCUUCUCUACUAAAAAUAAAAAAUUAGCCUGGCGUGGUGGUGCAUGGCUGCAAUCUCAGCUACUUGGGAGGCUAAGGCAGAAGAAUCGCUUGAACCCGGGAGGCAGAGGUUGCAGUGAGCCCAGAGCCUGAGGGAUCAAUAGACAGCUGAGUUUUUCCAGAUUUUUU